UACAGAGGGUGCGAGCGUUAAUCGGAAUUACUGGGCGUAAAGCGCGCGUAGGCGGCUUUGCAAGUCGGGUGUGAAAUCCCCAGGCUUAACCUGGGAACUGCAUUCGAGACUGCAUUGCUAGAGUAUGGGAGAGGGAAGUGGAAUUUCCGGUGUAGCGGUGAAAUGCGUAGAUAUCGGAAGGAACAUCAGUGGCGAAAGCGACUUCCUGGACCCAAUACUGACGCUCAUGUGCGAAAAGCCGUGGGGGAGCAAACAGG
rnacentral:rRNA from 1 species